AUGGAGGUACUUGGAAAAUCCCCCAUGGUUAGCUCCGCCAAUGUUAUUUACUUAUCCGCGAUCCUAGGCCGAGACUGCGACGCGUCUCACAAAUGCGACUGGAAAUGCGAGAACGAAAACGUUUUCGGGAACAUGUACCGCUGCAAACUAACUGGACUCACCCACGUCUGCGACAACAACUGUAACCAGAGGAUCCUCUACGAUAACCACACCUCCCUGUGCAGGGCGAGCGGGCGGGUUUUCCCUCUCUCGCCUGCUGAGGAGCAGGCGGUGAGAGGUGUUAGGAGGAAGUUUGACAACAGUGAGAGUCUUCCUCCUACUGAGGGAUGUUCUUUUAAGCGUCGUCGUCGCGAUGUGACUCAGUUCAAAGCUUCUCCUUUCGAGAGGUCUUUCACUGCUGUGAGUCCUAUCUGCAGCCCUGCUGGUGACGGGAUGGACUUGAGUUAGAUCCAUCAAUCAUCUCCCUGAGAGAGGCUCUUUAAUAAGACGUCCUCCUGUGUUUGUGCUCAGCAGGCAACAACACGCAAGGAAGGCAGUGAGCAGGUACAAUUACCAAGCGAGGAUGGGAUUGGCCAACUGUGUUCAAAUUAUCAGUUAUUCAUGGUUCAGAUUUCUUUAGAAUGUAAAGUUUCUGAUGAAGUUCAUGGAAUCUGGGCUCUUAUGUUAUUGUUACUCCACCUGAAUGGCUAAAUCACAGUCCUGGCUUACAAAAAGGUCAGAGACGUAGGCAUUCGAUGGUUUGAUGCAAGAGCCUAGAUUUUCUGGAAUCGUGGAAGAUUCUGUUCCAAAGAAGUUGGCAAAGUAUCAAAUGUUGACUCUACCUCUACGAUAACAUACGUUAUGUUAAUAUCUCUCCCUAUUAGCUUAUGAUGAUAACAAUCACUGUCUGCUUAACUUUUCAUCUUGUUUAGAAAUCAAAAUAAUCUCUGCUUUUAUU